rfam:Aedes aegypti strain Liverpool supercont1.204 genomic scaffold, whole genome shotgun sequence.
CUCUUUAAACCCGAUGGCAGAACGGGUUGUAUAGAAGGUAAAUACGUCGAAGAUGAAACAUCUGCUGGCUGAAGGAACCGAGCGUGAUAGAGCUCCCAUUGACAAACGUGUGAUGAUCGACGGAGAUGAGUUCGAGGUGGUGAAUGAAUUUGUCUACCUCGGAUCAUUGGUCGGAUAACAACUGCAGCAGAGAAAUUGGGAGACGUUUGACCAUGUCCGCAAAUGGCGCGUAUGGUCUCGCACCGACUACAGAUCUUUCAAAUACCUGCCCUAUUCACUAUUGAUGGUAGUAGAGAACACUACCAUGGUUGCAACGGGUAACGGGGAAUCAGGGUUUGAUUCCGGAGAGAGAGCCUGAGAAAUAGCACAUCCAAGCAAGGCAGCAGGCGCGUAAAUUACCCAAUCCCGGCACGGAGAGGUAGUGACGAGAAAUAACAAUAUAAGGCUCUUUUAUGACGUCUUAUAAUUGGAAUGAGUUGAGCAUAAAUCCUUCAACAAGGAUCAAUAGGAAAGCAGGUCUGGUGCCAGCAGCCGCGGUAAUUCCAACUCAACUAGCAUAUUAAAAUUGUUGUGGUUAUAACGUUCGAAGUUUAUUCUUGUCCAACACGGGUGCUACUCCUAAUGAUGGCGGUAGGUCACUGAAUUGUUGCGACUACAUAUAAGACUGGGUGAGCUCGUCGGUCCUCGCGGCCGGCGCGGUCGUAGUGUGGCGCUGAUGCUUUUUAUCGGGUGCAGUAUUUUCCACAAGCCCAGCUGCUAUUACUUUGAACAAAUUAGAGUGCUGUAAGCAGGCUAUCCUACGGCCGAAAAUAAUCUUGCAUGAAAUAAUGGAAUAUGACCUCGGUCAUUGGUUUGUAAUCAGAUCAAGAGGUGAUGAUUAACAGAAGUAGUUGAGGGCAUUAGUAUUACCUCGCGAGAGGUGAAAUUCGUAGACUGUCGUAAGACUUACUAAAACUAAAGCAUUUGCCAUGGAUGCUUUCAUUAAUCAAGAACGAAAGUUAGAGGAUCGAAGGCGAUUAGAUACCGCCCUAGUUCUAACCGUAAACUAUGCCGAUUAACAAUUGAGAGACGCGGCAUUAUGGUGCUCUCAGUAGCUUCCGGGAAACCAAAAUUAGGUUCCG